GCUCCCAUGAUGCACUCUGCCCCCUUGUGUCCACAUGAGUGUAAUGCUGUGUCUUUAGGCUGUCUGGAUGUCUGGUCUCAGAGAGGGGCGGGGCUGCUCUGGCCUCAGCUCUGAGCUCCGCCCCCUCCCACCUCAGAGAGUUCGACCUGAGCUACAACCAUCCAGGACCCUCCGCCGAGCUCCUGACCGCUCUACAGGACCAGCGCCCCCUGCUGUCUGUCAGGUUGGAUCCUGCUGGAGAGCGCUGGAUGGUUCCAGGUCUGAGGAAGUACUCCUGUGACGUUUCUCUGGACCCAAACUCAGCUCACAGACGUCUGCUUCUGUCUGAGGACCAUCGGACUGUGACUCGAGCGAAGGAGGAGCAGGAGUAUCCAGAUCAUGACGACAGGUUCACAAACUACUUUCAGGUCCUGAGCUGCACUGGCCUGAGGGGGCGCUGUUACUGGGAGGUGGACUGGAGCGGGGAUGUUUUUAUAGCAGUGAGUUACAGAAAGAUCAGACGAAGAGGAGAGGGACGGGAG